rnacentral:rRNA from 1 species
CCCUUAGAUGUCCUGGGCUGCACGCGCGCUACACUGGAAGUUACGGAUUGAGAUACUACCUUGUCCGAAAUGGUCCGGGUAAUCACCUAAAAGCUUGUCAUAAUUGGAAUGGAUUAUUGUAACUAGUAAUCCUGAACGAGGAAUUCCUAGUAAGUCCCAGUCAACAGCUGGUACUGAUUACGUCCCUGCCCUUUGUACACACCGCCCGUCGCUACUACUGAUUUGACGUUUAAGCAAGAUUUUUAAACACUGACAGUGUGUAGUUCACGCUAUACUACAGUGAGAAGAAGAAGAUCGAGCUUACUUGUCUAGAGGAAGUAAAAGUCGUAACA